AACCCAUGAUGUGGACACUUCCGCAAGAGGUCCUUGAAUCGUUCCCAAGCCUAAUAAAGAUUCGAGAUCCAUCUGAACAAAUGAAGAUAUCUCAUUACGAAGCUU